GACGUAGGGCGCGAGCGUUGUCCGGAUUUAUUGGGCGUAAAGAGCUCGUAGGCGGCUUGUCGCGUCGGCUGUGAAAACCCGCGGCUCAACUGUGGGCGGGCAGCUGAUACGGGCAGGCUGGAGUUCGGUAGGGGAGACUGGAAUUCCUGGUGUAGCGGUGAAAUGCGCAGAUAUCGGGAGGAACACCUAUGGCGAAGGCAGCUCGCUGGGACGUUACUGACGCUGAGACGCGAAAGCGUGGGGAGCAAACAGG
rnacentral:rRNA from 1 species